GUCCUCAGCUGUCAGAGGUGCGGGAAGCCGGCUAUUAACCGGAGACAAAAGUGUCAUUAGGCGUGGUGCUGUCGAUGUGGAUUGAGCCCUGUGCUGAGCCCGAGGCUUUCUCUGGUGUGGAGUCUUUCCUGCAGGAGUAGAGGGAGCAGCUGGGGGCUCUCGAGCUGAGGAUCCCCGAGG
rnacentral:lncRNA from 1 species